GACGAACGCUGGCGGCGUGCUUAACACAUGCAAGUCGAACGGAAAGUCCCGGCUUUUGUGCGCUGCUCGAGUGGCCAACGGGUGACUAACACUUGAGUAACCUACCCCUGACUUUUGGAUAACUUCAUGAAACUUGGGCUAAUACCGCAUAGGAGCUCCUGCCUCAUGGUGGGGGUUGGAAAGUUUCGGCGGUUGGGGAUGUACUCGCGGCUUAUCAGCUUGUUGGUGGGGUAGUGGCUUACCAAGGCUUUGAGAGGUAGCCGGCCUGGGAGGGUCACCGGAACAACUGGGCUUGAGAUGAGGCACAGACUACUCAGGGAGGCGACAGUGGGGUAGAUAGUAUAAUAGGCGGAGGGAUAGUGUAGCAAAGCAGUGCGGGGGAAGAAGGGAUUGGGGUUGUAUACUGAUUCUGUUUGUGACGAAAUGUGAGUGACGGUAAUGGGUAAAGAAGCACCGGCUAACUACGUG
rnacentral:rRNA from 1 species